rnacentral:rRNA from 1 species
GACGAACGCUGGCGGCGUGCUUAACACAUGCAAGUCGAACGGAAAGGCCCUGCUUGCAGGGUACUCGAGUGGCGAACGGGUGAGUAACACGUGGGUGAUCUGCCCUGCACUUCGGGAUAAGCCUGGGAAACUGGGUCUAAUACCGGAUAGGAGCCAUUUUUAGUGUGAUGGUUGGAAAGUUUUUUCGGUGUAGGAUGAGCUCGCGGCCUAUCAGCUUGUUGGUGGGGUAAUGGCCUACCAAGGCGGCGACGGGUAGCCGGCCUGAGAGGGUGGACGGCCACAGCGGGACUGAGAUACGGCCCAGACUCCUACGGGAGGCAGCAGUGGGGAAUAUUGCACAAUGGGCGCAAGCCUGAUGCAGCGACGCCGCGUGGGGGAUGACGGCCUUCGGGUUGGAAACUCCUUUCGCUAGGGACGAAGCUUUUUGUGACGGUACCUAGAGAAGAAGCACCGGCUAACUACGUG